UGUAGCCAGAAAACUCGGGGAGUGG
rnacentral:piRNA from 1 species